rnacentral:rRNA from 1 species
UACGUAGGGUGCGAGCGUUAAUCGGAAUUACUGGGCGUAAAGCGUGCGCAGGCGGUUUUGUAAGCCAGAUGUGAAAUCCCCGGGCUUAACCUGGGAAUGGCAUUUGGGACUGCAAGGCUUGAGUGCGGCAGAGGAGACUGGAAUUCCUGGUGUAGCAGUGAAAUGCGUAGAUAUCAGGAGGAAUACCGAUGGCGAAGGCAGGUCUCUGGGCUGACACUGACGCUGAGAAGCGAAAGCAUGGGGAGCGAACAGG